CACACUGUGAAAAGUCUCUGCCUUUGUUUGUCAGUUUGAUCGUGGAGAAGAGAUUGGAGUAGAAACUUCCAAAUUGUACAAAAUAAUCGAAUACCUACAGACUUUAUUAUGUUGGUCCUCUUCUGCAGUAUUCAGACUUUCUUUGAAGGCCUAUGUGUAUGACAUCCGCAGCAGCAGCUACCUCCACAAGCUCCAGAGACACUCCGACACCAUCCUCAAUGUGACCUUUAACCCUGCUACACCUGAGCUGCUGACCGGGACUCUGGACGGGAGGCUGAGUCUGUUCCGCCCUGGCAACGCC
rnacentral:lncRNA from 1 species